rnacentral:misc_RNA from 1 species
GAUGAAGAACGUAGCGAAAUGCGAUAAGUAAUGUGAAUUGCAGAAUUCAGUGAUUCAUCGAAUCUUUGAACGCACAUUGCGCCCCCUGGUAUUCCGGGGGGCAUGCCUGUCCGAGCGUCAUUACAACCCUCAAGCUCAGCUUGGUAUUGGGCCCCGCCGACCCGGCGGGCCCUAAAGUCAGUGGCGGUGCCGUCCGGCUCCGAGCGUAGUAAUUCUUCUCGCUCUGGAGGUCCGGUCGUGUGCUCGCCAGCAACCCCCAAUUUUUUUCAGGUUGACCUCGGAUCAGGUAGGGAUACCCGCUGAACUUAAGCAUAUCAAUAAGCGGAGGA